UACAGAGGGGGCAAGCGUUGCUCGGAAUCACUGGGCGUAAAGGGCGCGUAGGCGGGAUGUCAAGUCAGUCGUGAAAUCUCUCGGCUCAACCGAGAAACGUCGGCUGAUACUGCCGUUCUUGAGGGAUGCAGAGGAGACUGGAAUUCCCGGUGUAGCGGUGAAAUGUGUAGAGAUCGGGAAGAACAUCGGUGGCGAAGGCGAUCUACUGGACCACAACUGACACUCAGGGACGAAAGCUAGGGGAGCGAAUGGG
rnacentral:rRNA from 1 species